ACAUGCCUACAUCAUAAUGUUAAUGCACUGGAUCCCAUUAUAACUUCCUAGCUAAGCGCACUCAGGAUAGAGUAGUACUGGGAUGGGUGACCACCUCAGAAGUCCUAGUGUUUUACAUGUC
rnacentral:rRNA from 1 species